rnacentral:rRNA from 1 species
GAUAAGGUUAAGUGAAUAAGGGCGCACGGUGGAUGCCUUGGCACUAGGAGCCGAUGAAGGACGGGACUAACACCGAUAUGCUUUGGGGAGCUGUAAGUAAGCUAUGAUCCAGAGAUUUCCGAAUGGGGGAACCCAAUAUCUUUUAUAGGAUAUUACUUUUCAGUGAAUACAUAGCUGAUUAGAGGUAGACGCAGAGAACUGAAACAUCUUAGUACCUGCAGGAAGAGAAAGAAAAUUCGAUUCCCUGAGUAGCGGCGAGCGAAACGGGAAGAGCCCAAACCAACAAGCUUGCUUGUUGGGGUUGUAGGACUCCGAUAUGGUAGUCUGUUAGUAUAGUUGAAGGAUUUGGAAAAUUCCGCUAAAGAGGGUGAAAGCCCCGUAGACGAAAUGCUGACAACACCUAGGAGGAUCCUGAGUACGGCGGAACACGAGAAAUUCCGUCGGAAUCCGCGGGGACCAUCCCGCAAGGCUAAAUACUCCCUAGUGACCGAUAGUGAACCAGUACCGUGAGGGAAAGGUGAAAAGCACCCCGGAAGGGGAGUGAAAUAGAUCCUGAAACCGUGUGCCUACAACAAGUCAAAGCUCGUUAAUGAGUGAUGGCGUGCCUUUUGUAGAAUGAACCGGCGAGUUACGAUUGCAUGCGAGGUUAAGUCGAAGAGACGGAGCCGCAGCGAAA